UGUAUUUUUUUAAUGGCAUUACUGCCCCUAUUUGAUGUCUCACACACUCUAUUAUCUUUACAUCUUUACAAACACUAUGUAUUUGUAUAUCAUGCGCGAAAAAUUGCCAGGAGAAGCACAGUAACCAAUACAUGUAUUUUCUAGAAAUUGAAAAAUCUUUCCAUUUCCUCAUUUCUCAUUGUUCUUUCCGUCUCAGUAUUUUGUUUUCUCUAAUAGAACUCAAAUUCUCGCCGGACCCGUUGCUACACAACCAUAUGAACCGAGUUAUAUUUCAGAGAUUCAGUACUUAACUCAGUGAGUCAAGAUGGAGCCAACGAGUUACCACGAUAUUUUUUUGCUACCAACAACGAACUUGUCGGGCUAAGAGUGAUACCAUAUCAUAGCCAUAUCCUAGACAUUCUGGAAGAAGAUGAAAUCGUGGUUACAAGGAGAUUGUUCUGGUUGAUCUCUCCAAUGGUGACUUUAUAUGUUAUUGCACAACAGGUCCCUGACAUUCUGGUUAUUGUCAAUUUGAUCUCAAAUGUUAUAGAUUUACUGAAAUAACCUCGUGAAUCAAUCCCAAAUCUUUCAA